rnacentral:rRNA from 1 species
UCCUUAGAUGUUCUGGGCCGCACGCGCGCUACACUGACGGAGGCAGCGAGCAUGUCCUUCGCCGAGAGGUGUGGGGAAUCUUGUGAGUCUCCGUCGUGCUGGGGAUAGAUGGUUGCAAUUGUCGAUCUUGAACGAGGAAUUCCUAGUAAGCGCGAGUCAUCAGCUCGCGCUGAUUACGUCCCUGCCCUUUGUACACACCGCCCGUCGCUACUACCGAUUGAAUCGUUUAGCGAGAAUUUUGGAUCGGAGCCCUGGUGGGCAGCGAUGUCCGCCUGGGAUUUACCGAGAAAUCAUUCCAGCUUGCCGAUUUAGAGGAAGUAAAAGUCGUAACA